rnacentral:rRNA from 1 species
CCUACGGGUGGCAGCAGUAGGGAAUCUUUCACAAUGGGCGAAAGCCUGAUGGAGCAACGCCGCGUGCAGGAUGAAGGCCUUCGGGUUGUAAACUGCUUUUCUAAGCGAGAAAUAUGAUGGUAACUUAUGAAUAAGGAUCGGCUAACUACGUACCAGCAGCCGCGGUCAUACGUAGGAUCCGAGCAUUAUCCGGAGUGACUGGGUGUAAAGAGUUGCGUAGGUGGCAAAUAAGUAGCUAGUGAAAUCUGGUGGCUCAACCAUUCAGACUAUUAGCUAAACUGUUAAGCUCGAGACCGUUAGGGGUAACUGGAAUUUCUAGUGUAGGGGUGAAAUCCGUAGAUAUUAGAAGGAACACCAAUAGCGUAGGCAGGUUGCUGGGACGGUUCUGACACUAAGGCACGAAAGCGUAGGGAGCAAACGGGAUUAGAUACCCCUGUAGUC